rnacentral:rRNA from 1 species
CCUACGGGAGGCAGCAGUGGGGGAUAUUGCACAAUGGGGGAAACCCUGAUGCAGCGACGCCGCGUGGGUGAAGAAGUAUUUCGGUAUGUAAAGCCCUAUCAGCAGGGAAGAAAGAAGACGGUACCUGACUAAGAAGCCCCGGCUAACUACGUGCCAGCAGCCGCGGUAAUACGUAGGGGGCGAGCGUUAUCCGGAUUCACUGGGUGUAAAGGGAGCGUAGACGGCCGUGCAAGCCAGGAGUGAAAGCCCGGGGCCCAACCCCGGGACUGCUCUUGGAACUGUGCGGCUGGAGUGCGGGAGGGGCAGGCGGAAUUCCUGGUGUAGCGGUGAAAUGCGGAGAUAUCAGGAGGAACACCGGCGGCGAAGGCGGCCUGCUGGACCGCGACUGACGUUGAGGCUCGAAAGCGUGGGGAGCGAACAGGAUUAGAUACCCGGGUAGUC